GACAGAGGGUGCAAACGUUGUUCGGAAUUACUGGGCGUAAAGCGCGCGUAGGCGGUCAUUUAAGUCUGAGGUGAAAGGUUCAGCGCUCAACGUGAACAGUGCCUUGGAUACUGGGUGACUUGAGUUCGGGAGGGGCAGUGGAAUUCCAGGUGUAGCGGUGAAAUGCGUAGAUAUCUGGAGGAACACCGAUGGCGAAGGCAGCUGCCUGGCCCAGAACUGACGCUGAGGUGCGAAAGCGUGGGGAGCGAACGGG
rnacentral:rRNA from 1 species